GUAGUAUUCCCUCCGUCCCAAAAUUCUUGUCUUACAUUUGUUUAGAUACGGAUGUAUCUAACAAUAAAAUGUAACUAGAUACAUCCGUAUUUAGACAACAUUAAGACAAGAAAUUUGGGAUGGAGGGAGUACAAA
rnacentral:pre_miRNA from 1 species